rnacentral:rRNA from 1 species
AGAGUUUGAUCCUGGCUCAGAUUGAACGCUGGCGGCAUGCCUUACACAUGCAAGUCGAACGGCAGCACGGGGGCAACCCUGGUGGCGAGUGGCGAACGGGUGAGUAAUACAUCGGAACGUGUCCUGUAGUGGGGGAUAGCCCGGCGAAAGCCGGAUUAAUACCGCAUACGCUCUACGGAGGAAAGGGGGGGAUCUUAGGACCUCCCGCUACAGGGGCGGCCGAUGGCAGAUUAGCUAGUUGGUGGGGUAAAGGCCUACCAAGGCGACGAUCUGUAGCUGGUCUGAGAGGACGACCAGCCACACUGGGACUGAGACACGGCCCAGACUCCUACGGGAGGCAGCAGUGGGGAAUUUUGGACAAUGGGGGAAACCCUGAUCCAGCAAUGCCGCGUGUGUGAAGAAGGCCUUCGGGUUGUAAAGCACUUUUGUCCGGAAAG